GCAGGACAGGCAGCGGCAGCAAAAACACCCGGCAGGCCUCUUCAAUUCUAAAUAGCAAUUGAAAUUCACCAGCUCGGCUCCAGCUACAACAGCCCCUCAGCUUACCUACCUGAACCACAUUCCAAACAGAAGGAUCAAGAGUUACAAUGUGCUGAAGACCUAUCAUGUGCCGGGGACUUUGCAAGCACUGGUCCUAAGCCUUAUGGACUCCCUGCUGGCUGAGCAAGCCUUAUUAUUUCCAUUUGCAAAUGAAGAAACCAAAGCAAUAGCAAAUUGCCAACUGGAAGUGCGGGCUCCAUUUAUCCAGAGGAAGGGAGCUGGCGACUGUCCUGGGUGAGCCUCUGCUACACUCGGCUCCUCUGUAGCCACAUUUCCAUAUCAGAACAACAAACCAGCCCAGCUCGGGAAAUGGGGCCAGUCCCCAGUCAACACAGAAAGAGACCAAAGUCCUGGUGACAGGAGCUGGCUCUGUCAGCCACCAACCGACUCUGGCACCUUGGGCAGCUCGGUCUCCAGCUCACAAAUGGGGUUCUGGAAUAGCCAUCCCCCUUUGCCCUGAACCUCCCGUAACCAGCGGAUUCAAGCGUCCAAUACCACGGGCCGCAGGUGUACCUUAGCACACGCUGGGCUUGCAAUGAAAGCUCCGUCAACAGUGCCCUGCUUCCCGCCCCACUGCCAGGUCCUCUGCUAUCUCUACCUAACAGCUGUGGCUCUCGGGGAGCAAAUUCCAGAGCCAGAACAGGAAUCUGGGUCCGAGUCCUCAGUAGCCACACUAAGCCACCGCCCUGCACUAUCUCCUUCCGUGUGUGCCCGGGGACCACCCUACACACAUUUCAAUCGGCCACAUCACAGCAACAUGAAACCCUGCCUCCCUGGCCUGAAAACAAUCGAAAACAAGGUGCUAUUGUUUUAUUCUUUAUAUCUGAUCCAGCCAGAGCCUAAAUAAAUGUAAAAGCACUUUAUUAAUUUUUCUAGCCCCAGUGCGUGGCAUUCAUGGGGCACUCAAUAUAAAUUUGUUGGAUUAAUUAAUCAUCCUGUAAUACGAAAUUUCUCACUAGCUGAAUGGAUAACCAAGGGAGAAGGGACUGUGACUUUUUCAUGGAAAAUCUAACCAUCUAGAAAGGAAAGAGCUAAGAACAGUCCGGUAAUUCUAGUGGGGAGAUGCCAAAUUAUGCUUCUCUGCCCAAGAGCUCUGGUUCCCACAGCAACUCGGCUGUGGCUCCACAGAGAUGAAUGCCACCAACAGAUAAGGGUGCCAGAGGCCUUGGGUCUCUGGAAUCUCCCUCCCCCAGAUGCCCAGCCCUGGCCACGUCUGCGGGGAGCUGCAAUCUUUCUCUUGGCACAGUUUCCUGGGCAUUUCCUCAUCUCCAGCAUGAUAACAGAGUGACAUCGCUCAGCCCAUAGAUGGAGGCAGGGACUACAGAGUACCAAGGUCUGUGUUUUAGCCGCUGGCGGGUCCAGAUCUUUGGGAGGAUUCAGCACCCAUCAGGGAUCAGGGCCCUUGAAGGUCUGAGCAGGAACCAAGCUCAAUGCCAAUUGGGUCCCCCACUUGGGGACCCAAUUCUGUCAUCUCAGAGGCACCAAGACAUGUGGCUGGCAUUAUCAAAGUAAUAUCCCAGCUCCCAAGUCACUUCAGGUAUCCUGAGAGUGAGCCUUCUGCACUGUGGACACCAUGUCUGCCUUCACCCCCAGCCCAUGACGGGUGUUUGUUCAACAGAUCCACAGCUGGAAGAAACAUAGCCUGGGUGGUUUUCCAAGUCAAUAAACAGCUUUGGUUACCACCAACCACUCAAACUGGCUGAUGAUGUGCCUGCCAGGGGAGCCAAUGAACACAGGCUGGGAGGGAGAUCAGGUGUCUAACUCAGGUCCUGCCCAUCCUGGGCCCCACUCUCCUGGCAAGGGACGAGAAGGCAGAGUGGGGGAGCCCUCCCUAUCUCUUGAACAAUAGCUGCCUGGGUCUCCUAUCCAUGAACUAGAUAGAUAAUACCA